rnacentral:tRNA from 1 species
GGAGAGGUGCCGGAGUGGUCGAUCGGGGCGGUCUCGAAAACCGUUGUGGCAGCGAUGUCACCGUGGGUUCGAAUCCCACCCUCUCCG